GAUGAACGCUGGCGGCGUGCCUAAUACAUGCAAGUCGAGCGGACGGACGCGAAGCCUGCUUCUUUGUUGUUAGCGGCGGGCGGGUGAGUAACACGUGGAUAACCUACCUAUAUGACUGGGAUCAUCUCGGGACACCGGCUCUUAUACCAGAUGAUCUUUUGCACCGCAUGGUUCAAUAGAGAAUGUCGGUCUUGCUGUCUCUUAUAGCUGCUUCUGCGCUGCUUUAGCUAGUUGGUAAGGUAACGGCCUUUCAAGGCUACGAUGCAUAGCCGAACGGACAGGGUGAUAGGCCACAUGAGAGCUGGAACACGGACCAGAGUCCUACGGGAGGCAGCAGUAGGGAAUCUUCCGCAAUGGGCGGAAGCCUGACGGAGCAACCGCGCGUGUGUGAUGAAGGUCUUCGGAGCGUAAAACCCUGUUAUUGGGGAAGAACAGAUGUGGAAGGAGACGAAGAGAGAUUGACGGUACCGAAUCAAAAAGCAACGGCUAACUACGUG
rnacentral:rRNA from 1 species